GUAGGUGGCAAGCGUUGUCCGGAUUUACUGGGGCGUAAAGGAUGUGUAGGCGGAUACUUAAGUGAGAUGUGAAAGCCCCCGGGGCUUAACCUGGGGGGGACUGCAUCUCAAACUGGGUAUCUAGAGUGCAGGAGAGGAAAGCGGAAUUCCUAGUGUAGCGGUGAAAUGCGUAGAGAUUAGGAAGAACAUCAGUGGCGAAGGCGGCUUUCUGGACUGUAACUGACGCUGAGGCAUGAAAGCGUGGGGAGCAAACAGGAUUAGAUACCCUGGUAGUCCACGCCGUAAGCGAUGAGUACUAGGUGUAGGAGGUAUCGACUCCUUCUGUGCCGCAGUUAACACAAUAAGUACUCCGCCUGGGAAGUACGGUCGCAAAGAUUAA
rnacentral:rRNA from 1 species